rnacentral:rRNA from 1 species
GACGAACGCUGGCGGCGUGCCUAAUACAUGCAAGUCGAACGCAGGGGGGACGGGGGAGUAACACGUGGGUAACCUCCCAUCAGAGGGGAUAACCCUUGGAAACAGGUGCUAAACCGAUACUGAUGGAUGGACCCGCGGUGCAUACGCUAGUUGGUGAGGUAACGGCUCACCAAGGCCACGAUGCAUAGCCGACCUGAGAGGGUGAUCGGCCACACUGGAACUGAGACACGGCCCAGACUCCUACGUGAGGCAGCAGUAGGGAAUCUUCGGCAAUGGACGAAAGUCUGACGGAGCAAUGCCGCGUGAGUGAAGAAGGUUUUCGGAUCGUAAAGCUCUGUGGUUAGAGAAGCGGUAUCUAACCAGAAAGCCACGGCUAACUACGUGCCAGCCGCCGCGGUAAUAC